rnacentral:rRNA from 1 species
GCAAGUCGAGGGGCAGCGGGACACUUCGGUGUUGCCGGCGACCGGCGAACGGGUGCGUAACGCGUAUGCAAUCUGCCUUGCACAGGAGGAUAGCUCUCGGAAACGAGAAUUAAUACUCCAUAUUGUCUAUUUAUCGCAUGAUAUUUAGAUUAAAGCUCAGGCGGUGCAAGAGGAGCAUGCGUCCUAUUAGCUAGUUGGUAAGGUAAUAGCUUACCAAGGCGAUGAUAGGUAGGGGUUCUGAGAGGAAGAUC